rnacentral:rRNA from 1 species
GAUGAACGCUGGCGGCGUGCUUAACACAUGCAAGUCGAACGCACCAUUUCGGUGGUGAGUGGCGCACGGGUGAGUAACGCGUAGGUGACCUAUCCCAGAGUGGGGGAUAACUCAGGGAAACUUGAGCUAAUACCGCAUACGCUCCAUCGUGUUAGAGGCGGUGGAGUAAAGCAGUAAUGCGCUGUGGGAGGGGCCUGCGUCCGAUUAGCUAGUUGGUGGGGUAAGAGCCUACCAAGGCGAUGAUCGGUAGCUGGUCUGAGAGGACGAUCAGCCACAUUGGCACUGAGACACGGGCCAAACUCCUACGGGAGGCAGCAGUGAGGAAUAUUGGGCAAUGGCCGAAAGGCUGACCCAGCAACGCCGCGUGGAGGACGAAGGCCUUCGGGUUGUAAACUCCUUUUCUGGGGGACGAGAGAGGACGGUACCUCAGGAAUAAGUCACGGCUAACUACGUG